GUCCGUGAUUAUACAGAUGUGGAAACGCCUUGCUCCAUCCCGAACCAAGAAGCUAAGCACAUCGUGGGUGAUGAUACUACGCCUUACUGGCA
rnacentral:rRNA from 5 species